rnacentral:rRNA from 2 species
AACACGUGAGUAACCUGCCCUUAACUCUGGGAUAAGCCUGGGAAACUGGGUCUAAUACCGGAUAUGACUCCUCAUCGCAUGGUGGGGGGUGGAAAGCUUUAUUGUGGUUUUGGAUGGACUCGCGGCCUAUCAGCUUGUUGGUGAGGUAAUGGCUCACCAAGGCGACGACGGGUAGCCGGCCUGAGAGGGUGACCGGCCACACUGGGACUGAGACACGGCCCAGACUCCUACGGGAGGCAGCAGUGGGGAAUAUUGCACAAUGGGCGAAAGCCUGAUGCAGCGACGCCGCGUGAGGGAUGACGGCCUUCGGGUUGUAAACCUCUUUCAGUAGGGAAGAAGCGAAAGUGACGGUACCUGCAGAAGAAGCGCCGGCUAACUACGUGCCAGCAGCCGCGGUAAUACGUAGGGCGCAAGCGUUAUCCGGAAUUAUUGGGCGUAAAGAGCUCGUAGGCGGUUUGUCGCGUCUGCCGUGAAAGUCCGGGGCUCAACUCCGGAUCUGCGGUGGGUACGGGCAGACUAGAGUGAUGUAGGGGAGACUGGAAUUCCUGGUGUAGCGGUGAAAUGCGCAGAUAUCAGGAGGAACACCGAUGGCGAAGGCAGGUCUCUGGGCAUUAACUGACGCUGAGGAGCGAAAGCAUGGGGAGCGAACAGGAUUAGAUACCCUGGUAGUCCAUGCCGUAAACGUUGGGCACUAGGUGUGGG